rnacentral:lncRNA from 1 species
GAUGACCCCACUGUGCAUGCAAUUAGUCCAUCUCUGCCUGCUUUUUCUGACUGGGGUUAUCACAACAGAAUCCUCCUGCCUGGGGUCUUCUCAGAGUGCAGAGCAGUGCCUCAGAUAGCCUCCUGGGAAAAACUAGUCCUUACCACACUGGACCUUAGAAGAGGGAAUUAGGAAAUGAGGGAAUCCAUUGGAUCCUGGAUUCUAGACUGAGACUCUGUGUGGUAUGCACACUUGAGUGCUGAGCAGACAGGAUAGCUUAUAUCUCCCAGCCUCCUCUGCCUUCUGUCUUCCUGCCAGGAGGAGGGAGGUGCAGGGGACACUACAUGUAUGGUACACUAUCCAAGUGUCUUGCCAGCCCCCUAAACUGAGGAACCUAGUACUUCAUGGUUGCCACCAUCCUCUGCAAACUGAGGAUCACUGGGGCAAUACAGUAGCAGUCAGCAAGGUUCCUGUAAACCUAGACAUGUGAGGCUUGGCAGAGCGUGUUUCUGUCUUUAGAGGGAACUGGGCCACAGAAUGAGAAGUUGCAGCCGUGCAAGGCUGUGAGGCACUGUUCCCACUUGGAGCUGUUCCCUCCUGAGCUAUUGUACCCAUUGAGAAGCCUGUCCAGCCUGCCCUGGACCUGGGUUCUCUGAUCAGGUGCUUUGUCCUCUGUACACUACUGAGCAGGAGUGGAACAAGCCCUGUGUGGGGUGGGGUUGGGGCACUCCUUUUAUACAUAGUUAGAAGGUGGAGACUGAGGUUUGGCCACAUCCUUUGCCCAGAUACCUGUCUAGGACCAGGGGAUGGAUACACCUUGACAGUGUGAGAGAAUACAUGGAAUGGGCAUGGAUCUAGCUGGAUAUAUCUUUGCCUCUGUAAUACCUCUAGAUGGUAGGUACCCUACAAGAAACUCCAGAGACCAGGGAAGCAGGGCCUCAAUGGUGUUAGUGAGGAAGUGGAGUAGUGGGGUACGUGCAUCUUAGGAUACCUGUUAGACCCAGAAUUUCUCUCUGGCCUCCCUUCUAAGAGGUGUAGAGCAGGAGUUAAGUAAAGGGAGACUGUUUGGUACCUCAUGGAGAUUGCUUCCUGCAUGAUGGAUAGCCUGGGUUCUAAUUGCUCUCUUCUCAGCAUAGAGCAGUAGAGCUCUGGGUGCUCAAGUGUGCACACCAGACAGGGUCCCAAUCUAAAACCAAUGGACUCCCUCUUUCUCUCUUUCCCUUUUCCAAGGCCAACUCAGGAGCUGUGGACAAUGGACUUUUAGGCAGUAGCUGGAACUGGGUCUAGGGUGGUUUCUUGGGAGUCCUUCCAGUCUAGUGAGCCAAGCCUGGGCCAGCCCCUGGAAGACCUUGACUUUAGUGAAGAGAUCCAUCAGCCCCUAAACCCUAUGGAUUGCUAUAACCUUAAUUUGCUGUAGGCCCCCAACCCUGCAGCCCCACAGCCCCCUCCUCUGGGCCUAUGCCAGAAUCCUACCUAAGUCAGUGUAGCGGGGAGUGUCUGACUUCCUUAGCCCAAGUCUUAGGGUGUAACCCAAAUCUUGGGCCUCUCUUGGGCACAGAAGAAACUUUGUGCUCGCUGGGACAAAACACCUGCUUGGCUUUUCCCCACCCAGUCUAGCCCAUUUCAGUGACUGCUGGGGUGGGAGGCACCAAGGAAGCCUCCGCACGCACCCCAGAGUGAGGGGUGGCUGUACCCAGGUGACAUACGUACACAAUACAGGUUAGUGUUGCAUAUGGCUAUGGUGCUGUCUGUUGAGGGUGCCCCCACUUUCACCUGUUGGGGCUUCCUUCCUGUCCUAUUCUCUGCACCUCCUGAAGCUUGUGUGGCCCUCUGCACCCGCAUCUGCAUCCUCCAAGGGUGCAGGGGCCCAUCCAUGGGCAACAAACAGGCUAACUCAAAAAAGCCCUGUAUAGCCCUGCCUGGGAGCACCCUAGAGGAGGUAGCGUGCUCCCAAGUUCCUAGAAACCUGCUUAUCCCUGUCAGUGCUGGGGUUUUCAUAUGACCUAUAAGGUGGUGUGCCUUAUCCCGGAGGCAAGCGAGCAGGAAUCUAGUCACUCAUGAGAGUGUACACUUAAAACAGUAGCUGCUUGAGCCUCCCCUGGUGGUCUAGGCCUAGAUGGAGUUUAAUAUUCAGUACCAUUGCUUUGUGAGUCAGACCAGAGCCCACAGCUAACAAGCUUUUUUUAGCUUAUACUGCCCUGGACCACUAAACACUGGGGGUGGGGUGGGCGUGGGGGUGACAGCUAGGCAGAAAUGGGGAAGGCACAGUGAAAUGAAGAAGGCAGACCCUGGCACUGAACCUCAGAGGUACAGGACUUACUGAUACAUCAGUUAUUUGCAGUGAAUUGAUGUGAUUGGCCACAAGCCUGGGCUUGCACCCUCUGGUGGCUGUGUGCAGUACUACUUUCUGAAGGCCCUUCACUCUUAACAGUCAGCACAGAUCAAGGGUGCGGUCACUGCUUGGGCAGUGCAGCAGACUGGCCCCAUCACUGCCUCACCCCUACCCUGCAGUCCCAUAAAUAGGGGGUACCCCGAACCAGCCAAGCUUAGUGGGAGGACUGGCGAAGAUAUGAGCUAGCACACAGCUCCCAGAGCAACAACACAUGUUCAAGGCUUUUUUUUGUCCUCAGGUUGUUGCCCUACAGUCAGCACCCUCCAACACAGUGGUUUUCAACCUGUGGACAGAACUUUGGGGGUGAGACGACCCUUUCACAAGGGUCACCUGAGACCAUCGGCAAAUACAGAUAUUCAUGAUUCAUAAUUAUAAAAUUUACAUAAUUACAAAGUUACAACUAUGUAGUAUCAAUGACUAUAAUGUCUGUCUGGGGGUCACCACAACAUGAGAAAUUGUAUUAAAGGGUUGCAGCAUGG